rnacentral:rRNA from 1 species
AAUAGAUACCCCGGUAGUCCACGCCGUAAACGAUGAGUGCUAAGUGUUAGGGGGUUUCCGCCCCUUAGUGCUGCAGCUAACGCAUUAAGCACUCCGCCUGGGGAGUACGGUCGCAAGACUGAAACUCAAAGGAAUUGACGGGGGCCCGCACAAGCGGUGGAGCAUGUGGUUUAAUUCGAAGCAACGCGAAGAACCUUCCCAGGUCUUGACAUCCCAUUGACCACUAUGGAGACAUAGUUUUCCCUUCGGGGACAACGGUGACAGGUGGUGCAUGGUUGUCGUCAGCUCGUGUCGUGAGAUGUUGGGUUAAGUCCCGCAACGAGCGCAACCCUUGUUCUUAGUUGCCAUCAUUUAGUUGGGCACUCUAAGGAGACUGCCGGUGACAAACCGGAGGAAGGUGGGGAUGACGUCAAAUCAUCAUGCCCCUUAUGACCUGGGCUACACACGUGCUACAAUGGACGGUACAAACGGUUGCCAACCCGCGAGGGGGAGCUAAUCCGAUAAAACCGUUCUCAGUUCGGAUUGUAGGCUGCAACUCGCCUACAUGAAGCC